GACGAACGCUGGCGGCGUGCUUAACACAUGCAAGUCGAACGGAAAGGCCCUGCUUGCCGGGUACUCGAGUGGCGAACGGGUGAGUAACACGUGGGUGAUCUGCCCUGCACUUCGGGAUAAGCCUGGGAAACUGGGUCUAAUACCGGAUAGGAGCCAUUUUUAGUGUGAUGGUUGGAAAGUUUUUUCGGUGUAGGAUGAGCUCGCGGCCUAUCAGCUUGUUGGUGGGGUAAUGGCCUACCAAGGCGGCGACGGGUAGCCGGCCUGGGAGGGUGGACGGCCACAUUGGCACUGGGAUACGGCCCAGGCGCCGACGGGAGGCAGCAGUGGGGAAUAUUGAACAAUGGGCGCAAGCCUGAUGCAGCGACGCCGCGGGGGGGAGGACGGUCUUCGGGUUGUAAACGCCUUUCGCUAGGGACGAAGCUGUUUGUGACGGUACCUAGAGAAGAAGCACCGGCUAACUACGUG
rnacentral:rRNA from 1 species